ensembl:lncRNA
CUGGGGAUAUCUUCCCCUGAUGUUUAGCAUCUGGCAAGGAGAAGGCCCAUGCCUGCUCUCUCCAUGCGGAACUUUGUGAUUUCAGCAGGGAGGAAUGGAUGAAGGGUGCAAAGCCAACAGAAGGGGGAAUGGAGCAGCAUUGGACAAUCACUGCUAGGAAAUAAGCCAGACUCUGGUGAGGCUAGGCCUCUGAUCUGAGGGCCUUCCACUCGGCCACGGCUCCUUCCUAGCUGAAGUCUGACUUCAUCCCUACCCAGGAAGGAGAGUUGCAGUCUUUGCAGUUUGGGCUUCCCCUGAACUCUUGCUUAUUCCUGUAACCCUGAACUUCACGCUGCUUUGCAACAGAGAAAAGGAGGAGGAAGAGGAGGAGGAGGAGGAAGAGGAAGAGGAAGAAGAAGAGGGAGAGGAGGAGAAAAGAAAAAGAAACUAAGAAAGGUGGCAAUAAUAUUGGUCAUAGAUAGAGCAAGGAAAAUAUGAAAUAUGAGAACAGAAGCUCCUGGAAUUGGUAUGUGACUUAAAGAUGAAGGCAUUUCAUAUGCAUGUCCAGGUAUAUUUGUAAAGAAGGUUUGAGAUGUCCAUGGUGAAGUCUGCUGAAACAAAGAAGGACACUGAUUAAAAUUAGUCUCUGGGUUAAACAGGAUGUUUGGCUGAAGCUAGCUGGAGAUGAGAACAGACAAAGCUAAAAAUAAAAGAGAAACAGAGAGAAACCACUCAGGUCGCCUAUGUUAAGAAUCAUUAGGCAAAUAGUACCUGUCACGUUGACACUUCCAAGAUAUACUGCAUUUCUCUCUGUGUUUAGUUACACUGUAUGCUCCCUGUAUGUCUCUGAAGUAUUAACGUUCUCUAAAGCAUUCUGGUUUUCCUGGAAUAAAAAGGGAGUGGAGAAGCUGGGAGCCAGUGUUACUUGCUUACUUAGCCUGGGUUAUA